UUCUUGUCAUCCUCCUCAUGAAAGGGUGAGACAGAUAGAGAGAGAUAAAGGAGACGAGAGGGAAGAUAGAGGUUAGGAGGGGGGAGAGAGAGAGAGAGAGAGAGAGAGAGAGAGAGAGAGAGAGAGAGCAGGUGAGUGGGGUUUAGGGUUUCGUCGAGCAAUUGAGGCAAGGGAGCGGCUCAGGAUUCGGUUUAGGAAUGAAGGGAGAGCGAGUCAGAGAGGAGAAAUGGACAUACAUUGGAUGUAAAAAAUAUCCGAAUUAUCGAGAGCUAUAUCCUAUUUUUUUUAAUAUU
rnacentral:lncRNA from 1 species